rnacentral:rRNA from 1 species
CACGUAGGGUGCGAGCGUUGUCCGGAAUUAUUGGGCGUAAAGAGCUCGUAGGCGGUGUGUCGCGUCGGCCGUGAAAACCUGCAGCUUAACUGUGGGCUUGCGGUCGAUACGGGCAUCACUGGAGUUCGGCAGGGGAGACUGGAAUCCUGGUGUAGCGGUGAAAUGCGCAGAUAUCAGGAGGAACACCGGUGGCGAAGGCGGGUCUCUGGGCCGAUACUGACGCUGAGGAGCGAAAGCGUGGGGAGCGAACAG